rnacentral:lncRNA from 1 species
UUUUUUUUUUUUUUUUGUAGCUUCUCAAUAUUACAACUUCACCUUUGGCAAGUUUGAGCCAAAAUUCAUUCAAAAUGAUAAAAAAAUGGCUCAAAACAUAACCAUCAACAAUUCGGUUCACUUACUUUCUUAAUUUGUAAGCUCUGACUUCGACCAGCCAUUUCUUCCUCACUUUAGAUUUGAUUUCAUCAAAUCUUGCACAAUAGUUGAAGUCCUUCAAAUCAACUUUCCAACUCCACCUUCCGAUUGUUAAAUGCCUUUCUACAACUCUUUGUAUGCUUGAAAGAGUGACAGUAGGUACAAAUUUCAUAUCUAGACUUUUAACAGCCAUAACUCUCUCAUUAUAGAUUCAAAGUUAACAAUCCUUUCACAAAAAUUGUAGUCCUUCAAACCAGCUUUCCAACAACACCUUUCGUUUUCCAGAAAACCUUCUACAACUUUCUGUAUGCUUAAAAGAAAGACAGUCGAUAAACAAUUCACACCCUAACUUCAAACAACCUUAACUUCUUCAUACAAAACUCAAAUAACAAACUUUAUACACCAAAAUUAUAGCCCAAAACACAAGCUUUCUG